UUAAUAGUCCUCAAAGUUGUCUGGUUAUCCAUACCAAAAUCCACAUUUCUAUAUUAUUGAAGCCGGUUCAAAAUGGUCCCCGCCGAGUGGGGUGGGAAAAAACACAGACACGACAACUGUUUCCAGAUAUUUCCAUCGCACACCUCCCCAUCCGCCGCAUCUCGCUUCCUCUCCCAGUUGCUUCGUCUCACUUUCAUCCUCUUUGCGUCUCUUUGAUUUCGUCGCCGUCAAGGAAAACUCCGCUUCCGUCUGAAGACUUCGACUUCUCUUGGCUUGCUCAUCGGCUGCGUCUCUUUGCGAUGGCGCGUCCACGCAUGCAGAUACACUACGUCCCGCCGUACGCUACAGUGCUACACACUGCUGUCCUUGCCUCCUCCAGCUGAGAUUGCUAGUGAUUUGGCCCACGCGCGGCGGCGCGGAAGCUGUUCCAUGUUAAGCUGCAGUCGAUGCUGCUCCUCCCCCUUCUCCACCUCUCAGAGCGGCGAACGCCUGCAAAAGAAAGCAAUCAAACUAUGAUUUCCCCAUGCACGAGAGAGAUUCGAUGCUAAGCCGCAGUGGAAUGUAACGUCGAGGAAUGUCACUUUUCCUUGCAACCUUUUUAGCGUAUAUCUAUAUCUAUGUAACUGAUACGGGCUGUUGUUGCAACAACAGACCAUGGUGAUUAUUUAAAGUAAGCCUAGGAUUUAGACAACCAAAUUCUUUUGAAAGUAUAUAUGCAACAAUAUAGAAAUCCUUUCUUGCUGCAAACAUGAGACACAUUGAUGUUGGAA